rnacentral:rRNA from 1 species
GACGAACGCUGGCGGCGUGCUUAACACAUGCAAGUCGAACGGAAAGGCCCUGCUGUUGUGGGGUGCUCGAGUGGCGAACGGGUGAGUAACACGUGAGUAACCUGCCCUUGACUUUGGGAUAACUUCAGGAAACUGGGGCUAAUACCGGAUAGGAGCUCCUGCUGCAUGGUGGGGGUUGGAAAGUUUCGGCGGUUGGGGAUGGACGCGCGGCUUAUCAGCUUGUUGGUGGGGUAGUGGCUUACCAAGGCUUUGACGGGUAGCCGGCCUGAGAGGGUGACCGGCCCCCUUGGGACUGCGAUACGGCCCAGACUCCUACGGGAGGCAGCAGUGGGGAAUAUUGCCCAAUGGGCGGAAGCCUGAUGCAGCAACGCCGCGUGCGGGAUAACGGCCUUCGGGUUGUAAACCGCUUUCGCCUGUGCCGAAGCGUGAGUGACGGUAAUGGGUAAAGAAGCACCGGCUAACUACGUG